AAAAUCAAAUCUGCUCAAUGAAUAUUAUUUAAAUAGCUGCAGUAUACUGACUGUGCAAAGGUAGCAUAAUCAUUUGUCUUUUUAAUGAAGUCUGGAAUGAAUGAUUUAAUGAAAAAAUUACUGUCUCAAUUUAAUUAAUUGAAUUUUAUUUUAAGUAAAAAUUCUUAAAUUUUAUUAAAAGACGAGAAGACCCUAUAGAAUUUUAUAUUUAAUUAUAUUAAUAUAAUUUAUAUAAUAUUUUAUUAAUAUAAUAUAAUUAUUUAAAUGGGGCGCUAGAGAAAUUUAAUAAAUUUUUUUAUUUUAAAUUCAUUAAUUUAUGUAUUUAUUUAUCCAAUAUUAUUGAAAUUAGAAUAAAUUACCUUAGGGAUAACAGCGUAAUAUUUUUGGAGAGUUCAUAUUGAUAAAAAUGUUUGCGACCUCGAUGUUGAAUUAAGAUGAAUUUUUAAUGGAGAAAUUAAAAUUAUUAAGUCUGUUCGACUUUU
rnacentral:rRNA from 1 species